AACGCCGGGAAAAUUUUGUAAUUAGCAGCUUUUCCAGUUUUGUUACCGUUGAGAUCUUCCUACCAAAAUCCUUCAUCAACAUUGCUUUGUCUAUUAUCCGUUACCGCCACAGAGCAGCGGCGGAACAACAUGCCCCUCUGCUUCCUCUCCGUCCGUCCUCCUCCCCCUCGUCUCAUCACCUGCAACGCGUCCCCUGUAGCAGUGCGCCCUUAGCCUUAGCCGUCUGCUUCAGCACCGCCACAAGUACCAGCAGCACUACCUUCUCACUCUCCCUAAGCGCUAGAUCAACUCCGCCGCCGCUAACCUGCACCCUCCACUGCCCUUACUUCGAAUCGUGCUCCGGGUGUACGCACGAGUCCAAUCUCCACCGUCCGGUUAUCGUCGACGAGGCGACGGAGUUCUUCAAGACAGUUGGAGUCUCAGAUUUCACUUUUGACAGUUGCAAAAUUGCUAAUCAUCCAAAGAGGAUUGCAAGGAUUUGUUGUCUAGCAAGGCAUGGCACUUGGAAAAAGCCCUUGGCUAUAAUUUUAUUCCUGCAACCCCGAGAUUUUGCGAGAUGUGGAAAUGCAUUCAAAAUGUUGUAGGCUAUUAAAUCCUGCCUGGUUAAGAUCCCAACCACUGGAGGCACCUACAAAUGGAGCAAACGUCGAGAAUAAAUAUGCUCGUGCGGAAGUAGACUGUAACUCUCGUUAACAAGUGCAUGGUGUUUUGUAAAAUGAGAAUGGUUGAUAAACUCACCCGAGAUGCUUCAUAAUUUGGCACAACGAGCAAAUGGCGAAGUCCCACUUGC